rnacentral:rRNA from 1 species
GUCCACGGCCAUGCUAUCCUGAACAAGCCUGAUCCCAUCUGAUCUCGGAAGCUAGGGUUGAGCCUGGUUAGUACUUGGAUGGGAGACCACCUAGGAAGACCAGGUGCUGUAGGCU